rnacentral:rRNA from 1 species
GACGAACGCUGGCGGCGUGCCUAAUACAUGCAAGUCGAACGCAGUGGGGACGGGUGAGUAACACGUGGGUAACCUCCCAUCAGAGGGGAUAACACUUGGCAACAGGUGCUAAACCGAUACUGAUGGAUGGAAACGCGGUGCAUUAGCGAGUUGGUGGGGUCACGGCGCACCAAGGCGACGAUGCAUAGCGGACCGGAGAGGGUGACAGGCCACACUGGGAAUGAGACAGAGCCCAGACUCCUACGGGAGGCAGCAGUGGGGAAUCUUCGGAGAUGGACGAAAGUCUGUCCGAGCCACGCCGCGUGAGUGAAGAAGGUUUUCGGAUCGUAAAACUCUUUUGGUAGAGAAGCGGUAUCUGACCAGAAAGCCACGGCUAACUACGUGCCAGCAGCCGCGGUAAUAC